UUUCAUUAAUAAAUUUUUAUUUAUAAAAACUGUAAAGUAGGGUUAUGUUUGAGGUUAUGUUAUUGUUGUGAUAUGUCAAAACAUUGGGGUUUCGUUUGAAUUGAUUUAACGUAAUAAAUAAGUUUUAUUAGUCAAUAUUAUAUUAUAAAUGGGAUAAAAUUGUUUUAAAAUGGCAACUGAAUAAGAAAACUUAGCUAUAUAUCAAUACAAAUUGAGAUGGGUUUGCUACGAACAUAAGACACUCAACUUCACGUUACAACUUUAGAAUUUGCAACAUCGGCAAAAAAUGUUAGGCAAUUGAGUCUUGAAUAUAAAAAUUUCCCGAGGGGGUUUCUAGUCCCUUACCAGUCGCCUCCCCAGAUGACGGAUCAGGGAAUGGAUCCCAGAUAUAGGGACCAAAACUAAGUAGUGGAAGAGCGCUUGAGUGUUUCUAUAUUGCGAUUUAGAAACCGAAAAGAAGCCCUACUACACUAACUAUUGGUAGAUAUAGAGAGAUACAUCGCCUAGGUAUAGAAAUGACUGGAUUAAGCGAAGUAAAAUGGCGAAGAUUUGGAACAAAAAGUCAUCCAUUUUGAGUUUCCAACAGUUGAUGUGUUAGCAUAAAUGUCAAUAUUAUUAUGCCUCGACCGCAAGCGACCUCGGCCUUAGACUGUAGAAUAUUGAUUUUCCAAUGGUUAAUGUUUCUACUUUAAAGAAACAGGGCCUUGGCCACAAGCGACCUCGGCUUUAAAUUGUGAAAUAUUGGUUGGCCUUUGAGGAACCUGUCAUAUAUGCUCAAUGUAAACUUGGGUUUUCAAUAAAAAUGUUGAAGGAGAACUCAAAACCCAACUCUGCUAUAGAUUUAUGAUGGAUGAUCCACUAAAAGUUGUUUUAUUAAAGGGAUGGAAUUAAUUAUUAAACGAUAAGUUGCCCAAAAAAAUGGAGUUUAGAUUUAAUAAAGAAAUUAAUUAAAAAAAAAAUCUACCUGCAUC